rnacentral:rRNA from 1 species
AGAGUUUGAUCCUGGCUCAGGAUGAACGUUGGCGGCGUGCCUAAUACAUGCAAGUCGAACGAAGACUGUAGUAAUACUGUCUUAGUGGCGAACGGGUGAGUAACGCGUGGGUGACCUGCCCCGAAGUGUGGGAUAACAGUUCGAAAGGAUUGCUAAUACUGCAUAAUAUCCAAGAGAUUAGACGCUUUUGGAUUAAAGGAGUAAUUCGCUUCGGGAGGGGCCCGCGUCCCAUCAGCUAGUUGGUAAGGUAAUGGCUUACCAAGGCGAUGACGGGUAGGGGACCUGAGAGGGUGGCCCCCCACAAUGGAACUGAAACACGGUCCAUACACCUACGGGUGGCAGCAGUAGGGAAUAUUAGUAAUGGGCGAAAGCCUGAACUAGCAACGCCGCGUGUGCGAAGAAGGCCUUCGGGUUGUAAAGCACUUUUUGAGAGGAUGAGGAAGGACGGUACUCUCAGAAUAAGUCUCGGCUAACUACGUGCCAGCAGCCGCGGUAACACGUAGGAGGCAAACGUUAUCCGGAUUUACUGGGCGUAAAGCGCGUGUAGGUGGUUUGGUAAGUAGGGCGUGAAAGCUCCUGGCUCAACUGGGAGAGGACGUUCUAAACUGCCAAGCUUGAGGAUGGUAGAGGGAGGUGGAAUUCCGGGUGUAGCGGUGGAACGCGCAGAUAUCCGGAGGAAACACCAGUGGCGAAGGCGGCCUCCUGGGACCACUCCUGACACUCAGACGCGAAAGCUAGGGUAGCAAACGGGAUUAGAGACCCCCGGUAGUCCCUAGCCCCUAAAACGA